GUUAGAGUAGGGUUGUGACACUUGGCAUAAGAUUAGAGGUUGUGAUGGUUAAUUAGUUAAGAUGGUUGUGUAUAAAUAGUAGUGUAUUCUGCAUUACCUGUUCAUUAAGAAAGAAAGUUCAUUUUCCUCUGCUCUCUCUCUCUAUCCCUGAUAUCUCAUUCUCUCUCUCUCUAGAAAUUGUUCUUCAUAGUUCUUCAUUUGAUAUUGAUUAACAUGGUAUCAUCGCCAUUACCGCUCACGCAGAUUCUUCGAUCCGGCUUCUUGCUUCCGCUAUCUCUGUCUUCGAUUUGAUCUUCGGCUCCCUCUGAUCUCUCUGUUUCUUGCUUCUUCACGAUUUCUGUGUCUUCUUGACUAUUCAUAAUUUCUAGGGUUUGUUGAUUCGAUCUCGAAGUGUGAUUGUUUCUUCUUCUCUUCUCUUGGCAUUGUGUCGCUCCGGUGUUUGUGCUCAGUUCUCAGUGAAUUGCUUAGUUCUGUACUGCAACAAUGGUGACUGCUGCCCAACUUCAAAUUUUGCAAUCUCCGAUCACGGCUCUUAUUUCUACGAUUUCGAUGUCUG
rnacentral:lncRNA from 1 species